ensembl:lncRNA
AUGUACUCACAGUCUUCGUUGUUCCACAAUGUCACUAUUUCCCUACGGCACCUUCGUACAACAGACACGAUGCCCAAACACUCCGUCCCACUCGUGGCGUUCCUUGGGAGGCAAAAACAACACACCUUCCUGUAUCCUCGAUGCCCUCUUUAUACUCAUGAACUGCCCUGUCUGCAAUCGCCACCUCAUUGGACACACCUGCUGCAGAUUUCCCUUGAUUUGGGUCGUCCGGAGUUUCCGGAAGUGACAAGGGUUUGCAUAUUUCCGGUCCGGGCGGAACUUCUCCUCUCACUUUUUGGUUCCGCCCUCAAAGUCACUUCGUGACAUUUACCACAGGGGUUUGGCAGAAUGGUAUAAUUAUAAUAUUAUACAAUAAUACUUAUGCUUACAUUGGAACCUUUUCUCAAUUUUUGGGAUUCUAAGAAGCAGAAGACAUCAUAGUUGGGUAAAUAUUUGCAUUCUCAUGUGCCUUAAUAGCAACAGAAAAAAAAUUACACAAUAGUGUUUCUGUGACUUUCCAAAAGAGGAAAAAUGUUUUUAAGAGAUUGAUGACCGUGACUGAUGUCAAAUUUGCUCAGCUUUUGUAUUAGUUACACUCACACAACAGCAGUGAAUUUUAUGUUAUUUAAUGCCAAGGUAAGAAACCACAAAAUAUAUUUUUAUAAAUGUACAUAAAUAUUAAACUAAAAAAAUUAAAAAAAUGUAAAAAAGUAAAAGACAUAAAAAACAAAAUUGGACCCCGCUGUCUUUCUUUGUAUGAACAGAAAAGGUGCAGAAUAGAUUUGUGUGUGUGUGUGUGUGUGUGUGUGUGUUCCACAGAUGAAAAUAAAUUGUUUAGGUUUGGUACAACUUGAGGGUGACUAAAUGAUUUCACUGUUCACUGAGAUGUUGUCUUUGGUCCCCUCAUUUGAACUGAAUUGGUGUCCAGACUCAGCUGUCCCUCCCCCUCUGUCCAGCUCCUCAUAUCAGCUCUGCAAAUCACACAGAUGUGACAGCUGCAGGUGUCCUGAUUAAAACAUCACUUUCAUCCGUCCAGUCUGUUUAUUCCAAGCAUGUACAGAUACUUCUGGUUCUGGAGGAAGAGGAGGCAGAGCUCUCUGUGAUAAUGACAACUUUCACAUGCAGUCAGAUUGUACAGGGAGAUAAAACCAUUUUGCAUCUUUAAAAUGCUUUCAAAUCCACAUUUUCUGUAUAAAAGCAAGUUUCAAAGGAACACUUGGUAUAUAUGAUGUAGGUAAAGAUAACACAUACUCACUUUUUUCAGUACCUGCUUUGUUUGAUUAGUAUUCUCUUUCUGAUUUCGGCUUAGUAUUUUCUUCAGUUGUUGACACAUGGGACACAUUUUAUAGUCCUUGCCAUUUUUUUCUGUAUCUUACAUUCAGUCACCUGUUAACUAUAGCAUACAGGAUAAUUAGCUAUUUUCCCAAGUACAAUAAAAUUGCUUUAAAAAGGUUAACUAUUAUAACUACCCUGCUGGUUUCACAUAUUUCUAACUGAUGCAAGCUGGUAAUUUAUGCUCUGUAGUUGGUUCAAGAUUGAUUAUAAACUGGUGUCCAAUAUUGAUUUGAUAUUGGAUUUGGAACAAACCAGCUACUCUAGUUUAAGCAAGUGUGGCCUUGUUUUUCCAGCAGCUACGCUAAGGUUUGUGUGAAUGAGUGUGAAUGAGAAAUGAUGAGGGCAGACUGCAUGAAGAGGUGGGAGGCCUGUAUAAAUGUAUGAACUUGACUGACACCGAACAGGUGCACAGCCAAGGAGGUGUCAGAUUUGAUUGACACUCAGCUUGCACAUGCGGCUGUUUCUUCAAAAGUAGGCACUUUUGGC